GUGGUUUAAUUCGAUGCAACGCGAAGAACCUUACCUGGUCUUGACAUCCACAGAACUUUCCAGAGAUGGAUUGGUGCCUUCGGGAACUGUGAGACAGGUGCUGCAUGGCUGUCGUCAGCUCGUGUUGUGAAAUGUUGGGUUAAGUCCCGCAACGAGCGCAACCCUUAUCCUUUGUUGCCAGCGGUCCGGCCGGGAACUCAAAGGAGACUGCCAGUGAUAAACUGGAGGAAGGUGGGGAUGACGUCAAGUCAUCAUGGCCCUUAUGUCCAGGGCUACACACGUGCUACAAUGGGCGAGACAGAGCGACGCGAAGCCGCGAGGUGGAGCAAAUCGCAGAAAAUCGCCCUCAGUUCGGAUUGGAGUCUGAAACCCGACUCCAUGAAGGUGGAAUCGCUAGUAAUCGCGCAUCAGCAUGGCGCGGUGAAUACGUUCCCGGGCCUU
rnacentral:rRNA from 1 species